rnacentral:rRNA from 1 species
GAUGAACGCUGGCGGCGUGCCUAAUACAUGCAAGUCGAGCGAACAGAUGAGGAGCUUGCUCCUCUGACGUUAGCGGCGGACGGGUGAGUAACACGUGGAUAACCUACCUAUAAGACUGGGAUAACUUCGGGAAACCGGAGCUAAUACCGGAUAAUAUAUUGAACCGCAUGGUUCAAUAGUGAAAGACGGUUUUGCUGUCACUUAUAGAUGGAUCCGCGCCGCAUUAGCUAGUUGGUAAGGUAACGGCUUACCAAGGCAACGAUGCGUAGCCGACCUGAGAGGGGGAUCGGCCACACUGAAACUGAGACACGGCCCAGCCCCCUACGGAAGCCAGCGGUGGGAAACUUUCGGAAUGGGGGGAAGGCCUGACGAGGAACCGCGGCGUGGUUGAUAAGGGCCUCCGGUUGGUAAACCCUGGUAUUAGGGAAAAAAAAAAGUUGUAGGUAAUAUUGACCUUCUGAAGGUAACUAAUCAGGAAGCCCCGGCUAACUACGUG